GAGGGUAUGGCUCAGUGGUUGAAGGCCUGCUUAGCAUGCACGAGGUCCUGGGUUCAAUCCCUAGUAUCUCCA
rnacentral:tRNA from 1 species